rnacentral:rRNA from 1 species
CGCUGGCGGCAUGCUUUACACAUGCAAGUCGAACGGCAGCGCGGGGCAACCUGGCGGCGAGUGGCGAACGGGUGAGUAAUAUAUCGGAACGUACCCAGAAGUGGGGGAUAACGUAGCGAAAGUUACGCUAAUACCGCAUACGAUCUACGGAUGAAAGUGGGGGACCUUCGGGCCUCAUGCUUGUGGAGCGGCCGAUAUCUGAUUAGCUAGUUGGUGGGGUAAAGGCUCACCAAGGCGACGAUCAGUAGCUGGUCUGAGAGGACGACCAGCCACACUGGAACUGAGACACGGUCCAGACUCCUACGGGAGGCAGCAGUGGGGAAUUUUGGACAAUGGGCGCAAGCCUGAUCCAGCAAUGCCGCGUGAGUGAAGAAGGCCUUCGGGUUGUAAAGCUCUUUUGUCAGGGAAGAAACGGUUCGAGCUAAUAUCUUGGGCUAAUGACGGUACCUGAAGAAUAAGCACCGGCUAACUACGUGCCAGCAGCCGCGGUAAUACGUAGGGUGCAAGCGUUAAUCGGAAUUACUGGGCGUAAAGCGUGCGCAGGCGGUUUUGUAAGUCUGUCGUGAAAGCCCCGGGCUCAACCUGGGAAUUGCGAUGGAGACUGCAAGGCUUGAAUCUGGCAGAGGGGGGUAGAAUUCCACGUGUAGCAGUGAAAUGCGUAGAGAUGUGGAGGAACACCGAUGGCGAAGGCAGCCCCCUGGGUCAAGAUUGACGCUCAUGCACGAAAGCGUGGGGAGCAAACAGGAUUAGAUACCCUGGUAGUCCACGCCCUAAACGAUGUCUACUAGUUGUCGGGUUUUAAUUAACUUGGUAACGCAGCUAACGCGUGAAGUAGACCGCCUGGGGAGUACGGUCGCAAGAUUAAAACUCAAAGGAAUUGACGGGGACCCGCACAAGCGGUGGAUGAUGUGGAUUAAUUCGAUGCAACGCGAAAAACCUUACCUACCCNUGACAUGGAAGGAAUCCCGGAGAGAUCUGGGAGUGCCCGAAAGGAACCUACACAG